UAGAUACACUCGACUGCAUAAUUGUGUUUAUGACAUUUGAGCCUUCUAAAAUGCUCUCCAAUAUUUGGGGUUGCUUGCAUAAGGCAACUUUAAGGUCGAUGCAAUGAUUCUAUUAAAAGAAACAAAAAAUAUUGAUGAUGUUCAGGUUUACGUUCUAUGUUCUUGUCCAUAACCGCUUUAUGUUAAACGGAGUAAUUGAAGAUGGAAAUAUGCAGUGCCUCCAAAUCCCAGAAUUGAACUGAGAGAGUUAAUCUACUUAACUACCACGCCGGCGAUUGCACCCCAACUGUUCGACAAAAUGCCGAGACGAACUUUUAUCACCUGCAAAACCCAUGUUUACUGGGCACACCAGUCCCCAAAUCAGGAUAAUGAUGGUAGCUCAACUAUGAUCUAGCAGAACACAAGAGUUAUUUUGUGUGUCUACAUCAACAUCAAGAUUAGCAAGCAUUAACCGUUAAGGUGCAACCAGGGGCGUACAGGAUGUGACUACUUUGAUACCUAUCACAGGUACAAAUCACUCUUUCAUAUCUCUUGUCUUCCAUUAGUUUGUUGUUAUGCAAUUGUGAUCUAUAUAUGCAAUGUGGAAUAAACAGAUUACAUCAUUUACAUGUGUAUGUAGAAAUCUAUUUGUUGUUGCUCUUCGUGUCACUGUCAUCUUCAUAUUCAGUUGCUAGUCUAUUGACUUGUUUGGGUUUCUCUUUAUCCUCCUCUAAAUCCCAUUUGUUUGUGUCUUCCUCUAUUCCUCUUUCUUUAUAUUUCCAGUAAACCAUCAGUUGGAAGAUGCCCAAGAUAAUUCCAACCAAGUUAGGUGACUGCCAAACGGUCAAGAUUCAAGUUAGAAGAACCAAAAUGCAUUUUACAAAAUAUGUAAAAAUACUAAAGGUUCAUGAUAUACUUUUGGUAAAUAUAAGUUCCUAUGGGGAAAAAAUAAUGAACUGAAAAAGACGAGAGAGUGGCAAGUGAGAUCAGGGGAGUUCACAAACCGUGAUGAAAAAAUCAUGGCUCAGUAGUCCAUAGCAUCCCCAGAAGCAACUAGAAAGGAGAGUGAAGAAUGACAGAUAAAAUGGCAUGAAUUCCACGCUUUUGGUUGCUAUCACUUGCUUCUGCGGUAAUAUAUCCAGGUAAGAUGUUAAUUCCUUGCCAAAAGGUCCCAAGAUUUGUUAUUUUCUGAGAAGUGCAUGUCAAUGAUUGAUAGGUAAACACGACAGAUUUUGGGGCUUUACUAACAUGAGAAUGUAUGUCAAAAUAUGAUAGAUUUUAGAUUACAUGAUAUUUUGCUACCAUGCAAUCAUGUAGUGCUUUAACUGAUAAGCAUGUCUGUUAAGAACCUGUGAUAAUUUAAGAGAGCAUGAUGGGUUAUGAAGACUCACCACAGCAACAAGAGGGGCACCAUAUAGUGCUAUCGAAGUUACCAGCCCUACACUUCCAACAAAUAUUUUCCUUUUAUGAUGGUCAUGCAACAGUAAGGCAGAGAUUAGUGCUGUGGCUACGAAUAGUGCAAGAAAAGUCAUUGUUAAUGCUGCAACUUUCACCUGCAUCAUGUCAUGGAAUUAUUAUCACAAACUCUGUGCAUGACCAUCUUCACUGACUUGUUUUUGAAUGAUAAACAAAAAAAGUUCUGGCUCCUAGAAGUAUCAAAAGAUACUAAGGAUGUUUGAAAUGACUGACCUUUUCCCUUGUUGAAGUUAAGGAAAGAUAGACGAGGACAAAACAGGAUUCCAGUAGGACACCUAGGCCAUUGACGGUGGUGAGGGAGACAUUUUCCCAUCCUUUGCUUACAAUAGGUAAGCCGUACCAAGUGUAAAGGAGAGCGUUGAGUAGAGCAACAAUGUAUGGGACAUAUGAAAACCCUUGAGUGCUCUUCUUCUUUAUGAUUGUUGAAAAUGUUAAUCUGGGAAAACAUUGAAUUUUGAAGUUAUUUGAGAAUUUUGAUAGCUUCUAAUCUUGGACUAAAAGAAUGAGAAAAAAUUUAGGUUGAUGAAACAAUUGGGUGGAGUUUCACAGUACAUGGGUGAUGCAUAAAGUAACGCAGAAGCCAAGUUUCCUGCAAAAGAAAAUAUAUAAGGUUAAACUUUUUUAGCUACUCAUUUAGUUAACAGGGGUUUGAGAAUAGGGAUGUACCCAAAACUCCAACAGCUAUCCGCAGUUUAUCCCCCAUGUUAUCACCCUAACGAUCCUGGGGGUAAUGGCUGUGUGAUAGUACGCUCAACAAAUAUUUAUUGUUAAUGCAGCAUGAUCUGUUUGGCAGCCUUUGAUUGAUAUAAAUAGCCAAAGAUUGUGCUAAAGUUGUACGAUAUAAAAAUAUUGGGAGCAUAAACUUCCUUUUUCAAAAAUUAUUCUGGUCAUAAUACUUUAGUAUGGUAGAAAAGGAAGAUGGUAAUGGUGGUGGAGCAACAUGUAAUGAACUGUUAUGUUCUGAUUCUGAGUAAAAAACAUACAUGGCUAAUAAUAUUGUUCAUAUAUUUGAGUUUCCUUUACUAGAAUUCCCCCUUUUUACUGUCAAUGGAAAUUCAUAUUUUCUCGUGCUCUUCUCGUAGCACUUUGGAACUAGCUGUGAGUGUGAAAAUUAUAGUAUAAUAUGUUUAGAAGAAAAGUGAUUACAAAUUUGGGCAGUAAGAUGAUUGCAGGUGCCUUACAAGAAACUAGUGUGUGGUGAAUUGCGAUCUUUUAGCAACCAAACCAGUUUUAGCAGUUAAGGUGUAGUUGGAGAAAUGACCUAAACCAUUGUGGAAAGUGGAAUCAAUGGUAAUUGGGUUUGACAGGGGCGGCCAAUCUGACUUGACAGUAGGCUAAACUUCUUUGAAGAAAUGGUUAUGUCAGACUAUCUGUCAGAGUAAACACUGGGAAGAAAAUGGACUUUCUGUAAAAGCAGACAGAAAUAACAAAUCCUGACGUGAUAAUGGGUGUGGAAUCCUGCAACAGCAAGUAAAAGCUUUGUGUCUACAACUUUGAAUCCACAUUUUAAUUUUGUCGGAUUCAUUUGCGAAACUCGGAGCUUGGUGAAAUGGUUAAAUACACCGUACAUAGUACACAACAAAGUGGGAUCGCGAUAAGGGUUUUGGUUCGUUUACUAGAGACUUCACUUGGUGUUUAAGUACAAUAUCUUCUGUUAUGAUGAGUGGAAAGCUGAACUCCACCAUUUCCAGGUGAAUGGAAACCACAUUGACAGUUUACUCUGUUGUUUCUUUCUUUCUUUAUUUCUGAUGCCACUUUUUUUGUAAUCUGAUCUUUCUUUUUUCCCUCAAUCCUGUAAUUGUUCUUUUGUAGGACAAAGUGCAUAUAUACUCCAAAUAAGUGGUGAUUAUUAAACGCCAUCAUGAUCUUAGUGUUAAUGGUAUUUUGGUAUAAUAUUUCAGGAUCUUUUUAUUUUA